GCCAAACUCCUGGAGGAGAGAUGGAGUGCCCCUCCAGGGGACCUAUGGGGUUUUUUGGGGGUCCCUUCUGUGGUUUAUAUGUCAUGGUUUCUCUGGGUUGCUUCCACUUGCCAGCAGACAGGUGCUGCCCCACUGAGCCCCCAGUCGGAGAGGACUCCAGGGCGGUGGGAGCCCUCGGAAGGAUGCACCGUAUAGGGGCCCUGCACCCCAAGCUACGGGGGCUCCUUCACAGCUUGUGCUGCCCCGGGACGCCUCAGUCACUGAGCAAGGGGCCUCCUGGCUGGUGGAAGAACUCCACAGGCCCACGGAAUCCCGGUAGGACCUGGCAGGAGAGCCCUCGGACGCAGGCAGCACUUGGGCCUGCCUCAACUGUACCCUCUCCAGCCUGGCUCCAUCCUGAGUGCCAGGGACUGAUGGUCCAUGGGCCUACGUUCUCCAGCCUCAAAGGAAUCAGAGGUGGCUCCCGUUCCCUACCUCUCUGCCCUCCCUCCAUCCCGUGCUCCCCGUGGAAAUGCCCUCACAGCUGUCUGGGGCAGCUGAUUUCUGGACUUCCUUCCACAGGCAGCCCCAACAGGACCACUUUGGAUUCCCUUGAGCUGCUUCUGUAACAUCAUCACCAAGAGGACAGGGAAGCUCCAGAGUGGGACUAUCUUCAAGACCCCAAGAGCAAAAAAAAACAAAACAAAAAUAAAAAAAAAUAAUAAAAAAAGACCCCGAGAGCACCACUCUGGCAAUGGGGCACGUCUCUCCCGUUUCAACCCCUGAACCUGAACUGGAAAUGCCCGUGACCGACCUGGAGAGAAACGAGGGAUGAGUGAAGAGUUGAGCAGGCCCGAUCCGCCCGGGGGAGGGACGAAUGAGCCCGGCGAGUUCGCCCCCCACCUCCCUCACCUGUUCUUGUUCACCUGGGUUUAGGAAGCAGAGAGCUCAGCAGCCCCGGUGGAUUAGGACCUCACCUUUAAGGACUCGGUGUUCUAUGCAACGGAUUAAUCACUGUACCUCUGAAUAAUACACUAUAUGUUAAUGGA